rnacentral:rRNA from 1 species
GACGAACGCUGGCGGCGUGCUUAACACAUGCAAGUCGAACGGAAAGGCCCUGCUUUUGUGGGGUGCUCGAGUGGCGAACGGGUGAGUAACACGUGAGUAACCUGCCCUUGACUUUGGGAUAACUUCAGGAAACUGGGGCUAAUACCGGAUAGGAGCUCCUGCUGCAUGGUGGGGGUUGGAAAGUUUCGGCGGUUGGGGAUGGACUCGCGGCUUAUCAGCUUGUUGGUGGGGUAGUUGCUUACCAAGGCUUUGACGGGUAGCCGGCCUGAGAGGGUGACCGGCCACAUUGGGACUGAGAUACGGCCCAGACUCCUACGGGAGGCAGCAGUGGGGAAUAUUGCACAAUGGGCGGAAGCCUGAUGCAGCAACGCCGCGUGCGGGAUGACGGCCUUCGGGUUGUAAACCGCUUUCGCCUGUGACGAAGCGUGAGUGACGGUAAUGGGUAAAGAAGCACCGGCUAACUACGUA